rnacentral:rRNA from 1 species
AGUGAACGCUGGCGGUAGGCCUAACACAUGCAAGUCGAACGGCAGCACAGUAAGAGCUUGCUCUUACGGGUGGCGAGUGGCGGACGGGUGAGGAAUACAUCGGAAUCUACUUUUUCGUGGGGGGUAACGUAGGGAAACUUACGCUAAUACCGCAUACGACCUACGGGUGAAAGCAGGGGAUCUUCGGACCUUGCGCGAUUGAAUGAGCCGAUGUCGGAUUAGCUAGUUGGCGGGGUAAAGGCCCUCCAAGGCGACGAUCCGUAGCUGGUCUGAGAGGAUGAUCAGCCACACUGGAACUGAGACACGGUCCAGACUCCUACGGGAGGCAGCAGUGGGGAAUAUUGGACAAUGGGCGCAAGCCUGAUCCAGCCAUACCGCGUGGGUGAGGAAGGCCUUCGGGUUGUAAAGCCCUUUUGUUGGGAAAGAAAAGCAGCAGGUUAAUACCCCGCUGUUCUGACGGUACCCAAAGAAUAAGCACCGGCUAACUUCGUG